GCAAAGUUGCAAGAGCCCAGAUCGGCUGCUUAUCAUGGCAUAUUAUGAUUAGCUUUAAAUUUUGUCCGAUCUUCCACUAUUUGGAACAAAGAGAUUGGAGAGAGAUGGAACUAGACGACAGCCUGAUCCCUACUCAGAGUAACCCAUUUUUACCAAUAGGGAUUACUUUUGAGUACAGCGGCAACCUCAGCAACUGAAAUGCAAAUCAUGCGGGAGAUGAUCCAUUAAGGACGAAACUCAAAGCUGUGUCAACUUUUGCUUCCCAGAUCGUGUCUUUGAAAUGAUUCCAGGCUGUUAUGUUUAACUAUAAAGGCAUCCUCAGUAUUGUUGCAAGGACUGAACAUUUUGAUGGACAAGGAAUCUCAGGACAGAGGGUUUCCAGCCCCUCUCCUUUGGGGCACUGACCAUUAACUGGCUACAUCAUAUAUCAAGCCUGAGAACAAAAUGUAGUGGCGCGUGCUAUGAUCAAAGAGAUGACAUGAGAAGUCCUCCAACUUCUAAGAAUUACAAGAAGGGGAAAGAGAAUGCGGUUAUUGGACGUAUGCCUGGACACCAGCCUUGUUACCAGGCAGUGUAGUUAGCUGAUUGACAAAAGCAACAGUCACUAACAACACAGCCAGGUAAAAUGGCCUGUAUUGCUUCUGGGUGGAAGGCUCAAUGGGCAGCAGAAAUGCUUUGGCAACCACUGCCCAGAAGUGGCAUUGCACCAGAAGCCACAAUUGACAGAAGACAAAUGCCAAGCAAAAAGAGGCCAGUUCGUGGCUUGACAUUGCUCUGGACUGUUACAGCUGCCUGCAAAUUAAUGUUAAAAGUUAGAAAUGCGAACAGUUUUAUGGACACUGAAGUGAAAAGGUUUCCUUGAAGGCAGAAGAUUUGAGAACCACAAUUGCCCUAUUCAAUAAAGCUGAUUCUCACAUGCAGGAGAAUGAGAUAGUAGAUGAGAUGUACCACUUCCAUUGCAGGGAGAGGAUCAUACUUUGGAAAGUUCCCCUAUGUUCACAAGUCCCUGCCGACAGAAAGCUAGCACAGCAAGCAGAAGUGGGGUAUAUAUCUCACCCCUGAUGUGCUACUUGUUUAUCUGCAUGGAUUUUUAAAUAUAGAAGUAUGUUCACAGCUGGAAUCUCCCCCUUGUAGUCUGAAGCGGUACAGUCCAUUCUACCACCUCCAAGCUCUGCCACCUCAUUCUCAGGCAUGUGUUCUUUUAAAAAAAGAAAUGGGUAAGGCACAAAUGGAGGGAAAUUCAUGUGAUUGCUUACCCUAUCUACUCCAUACUCUGUCUCUGUCCUUGGACAAUCCACAUUUCCCUCAUAGUCCCUCAUUCAAUGAAAAACUUUCUGUUUCACAACACCUGGAAAACAUGAACCGUUUCAUCAGUUUAACAGUUAACUUAAGAGAAUGAAUCUGAGAAGCUCUGUCUGUAGUACAUACACAACUAAAGAUAACCUACCUUGCAAAGCCACCAUAAAGAUCGCUGAGAUAAUGUACAUGAAGCUAUUUACACAUGCAGAGGAAAGCAUCAAAAGUUGCUGUCAUUCAUAUUUAUGUAUCAAGAGUUUAAUAAAAGCUACCAGUUCCUUUUUUA